UGAGAGAAUAAUGUGUCCUAGGGGGGUCCCUUGCCUCUCCUUAUAUAGUUCGGAGGGCAGGGUUACAGAUCUAGAAACUAAUCCUAGCCGGUUACAAUUGCCAUAGAUAGUUCGAUAUCAAUUCCUAUUCUAACCGACUAGAAUCUUGCUUGAUCUCCACGUCUCGUUUCCUUGCGCGAAACCCCGAGCUGUCGGAUCAAGCCUUG
rnacentral:lncRNA from 1 species